UGCCAGCCGCCGCGGUAAUACGGAAGGAGCGAGCGUUGUUCGGAAUUACUGGGCGUAAAGAGCACGUAGGUGGUCUAGUAAGUUGGAAGUGAAAUCCCAGAGCUCAACUUUGGAAUUGCUUUCAAAACUGCUAGACUAGAGUUAGGUAGAGGAUAGUGGAAUUCCCGGUGUAGAGGUGAAAUUCGUAGAUAUCGGGAGGAACACCAGAGGCGAAGGCGACUAUCUGGACCUAUACUGACACUGAGGUGCGAAAGCGUGGGGAGCGAACAGGAUUAGAUA
rnacentral:rRNA from 1 species